GACGAACGCUGGCGGCGUGCUUAACACAUGCAAGUCGAACGGAAAGGCCCUGCUUUUGUGGGGUGCUCGAGUGGCGAACGGGUGAGUAACACGUGAGUAACCUGCCCUUGACUUUGGGAUAACUUCAGGAAACUGGGGCUAAUACCGGAUAGGAGCUCCUGCUGCAUGGGGGGGGUUGGAAAGUUUCGGCGGUUGGGGAUGGACUCGCGGCUUAUCAGCUUGUUGGUGGGGUAGUGGCUUACCAAGGCUUUGACGGGUCGCCGGCCUAAGAGGGUGACCGGCCACAGUGGGACUGAGAUACGGCCCAGACUCCUACGGGAGGCAGCAGUGGGGAAUAUUGCACAAUGGGCGGAAGCCUGAUGCAGCAACGCCGCGUGCGGGAUGACGGCCUUCGGGUUGUAAACCGCUUUCGCCUGUGACGAAGCGUGAGUGACGGUAAUGGGUAAAGAAGCACCGGCUAACUACGUGCCAGCAGCCGCGGUAAUAC
rnacentral:rRNA from 1 species